rnacentral:lncRNA from 1 species
ACAACAUCGUCUUUCAUUGUGAGGUCAUUUAGAGAAUCAAUUCAAAACCAGGAGAGAUCUAUAUCACAUUGUUCUGUUUAAAUGUUCUUUUUUAGGUGGCCUCUUGCACAAGUGUGUGCGUGUGUGUGUGUACAUGUGUGUGAGUGUGCUUGUGCAUGUGAGUGUGCAUAUGCGCGUGUGUGAGUGUGAGUGUGCGUGUGUGAGUGUGAGUGUGAGUGUGCGUGUGCGUGUGCGUGUGUGUGUGUGUCUGUGUGUGUGUGUGUGUGUGUGUACAUGUGAACAUGUGUACAUGUGUGUGUGUGUGAGUGUGUGUGAGUGUGCUUGUGCAUGUGCAUGUGUGUGUGCAUGUGUGUGUGCGUGUGCGUGUGUGCAUGUGCAUGUCUUUAUGCAUGUGUGUAUGAGUGUGUGUGCAUGUGUGUGAGUGUGUGAAAGGAAGGAAAAGGAAGGGUUCAGGUGGUAGAGAGAGAGAGGGAGGAGGAGAGACAUGGAGAGGAAAGGAGAGGUUCAGGUGGUAGAGAGAGAGAGGGAGGGGGAGAGACGGAGAGGAAAGGAGGACAGGAAAGGAGGGGUUCAGGUGGUAGCGAGAGAGAGGGAGGAGGGAGAGACAAGAAGAGGAAAGGAGAGGUUCAGGUGGUAGAGAGAGAGAGGGAGGGGGAGAGACGGAGAGGAAAGGAGGACAGGAAAGGAGGGGUUCAGGUGGUAGCGAGAGAGAGGGAGGAGGGAGAGACAAGAAGAGGAAAGGAGGGGUUUAGGUGGUAGAGGGAGAGAGAGGAGGGAGAAGGAGGGAUGGGAAAGAGGGAUGGGAU